GAUGAACGCUGGCGGCGUGCCUAAUACAUGCAAGUCGAGCGAACGGACGAGAAGCUUGCUUCUCUGAUGUUAGCGGCGGACGGGUGAGUAACACGUGGAUAACCUACCUAUAAGACUGGGAUAACUUCGGGAAACCGGCGCUAAUACCGGAUAAUAUUUUGCACCGCAUGGUUCAAAAGUGAAAGACGGUCUUGCUGUCACUUCUAGCUGGAUCCAGGCUGCAUUAGCUAGUUGGUAAGGUAACGGCUUACCAAGGCAACGAGGCAUAGCCGACCUGAGAGGGUGAUCGGCCACACGGGAACUGAGACACGGUCCAGACUCCUACGGGAGGCAGCAGUAGGGAAUCUUCCGCAAUGGGCGAAAGCCUGACGGAGCAACGCCGCGUGAGUGAUGAAGGUCUUCGGAUCGUAAAACUCUGUUAUUAGGGAAGAACAUAUGUGUAAGUAACUGUGCACAUCGUGACGGUACCUAAUCAGAAAGCCACGGCUAACUACGUG
rnacentral:rRNA from 1 species